CCAAUCUAGGAUGAUGAGCUCAUAUCCUACAUCAUCCACGGGCUGGACCAAGAUUAUCAGCCCCUCGUCUCUGCCUUGGACGCUCGCGUCACUCCGGUAACCCUUGACGAGCUCUUUGCCAUGCUUAGCAAUUUUGAUC
rfam:Triticum aestivum genome assembly, contig: Triticum_aestivum_CS42_TGACv1_scaffold_623195_7DS